rnacentral:rRNA from 1 species
UACGUAGGGUGCAAGCGUUAAUCGGAAUUACUGGGCGUAAAGCGUGCGCAGGCGGUUUUGGAAGACCGAUGUGAAAUCCCCGGGCUUAACCUGGGAACUGCAUUGGUGACUGCAAGGCUUGAGUGUGUCAGAGGGAGGUGGAAUUCCGCGUGUAGCAGUGAAAUGCGUAGAUAUGCGGAGGAACACCGAUGGCGAAGGCAGCCUCCUGGGAUAACACUGACGCUCAUGCACGAAAGCGUGGGGAGCAAACAGG